rnacentral:rRNA from 1 species
AUUGAACGCUGGCGGCAUGCUUUACACAUGCAAGUCGAACGGUAACAGGGUGCUUGCACCGCUGACGAGUGGCGAACGGGUGAGUAAUGCGUCGGAACGUGCCGAGUAGUGGGGGAUAACGCAGCGAAAGUUGUGCUAAUACCGCAUACGUACUGAGGUAGAAAGUGGGGGACCUUCGGGCCUCACGCUAUUCGAGCGGCCGACGUCUGAUUAGCUAGUAGGUGAGGUAAAGGCUCACCUAGGCGACGAUCAGUAGCGGGUCUGAGAGGAUGAUCCGCCACACUGGGACUGAGACACGGCCCAGACUCCUACGGAGGGGAGCAGUGGGGAAUUUUGGACAAUGGGCGAAAGCCUGAUCCAGCCAUGCCGCGUGUCUGAAGAAGGCCUUCGGGUUGUAAAGGACUUUUGUCAGGGAGGAAAUCCCUAGUGCUAAUAACACUGGGGGAUGACAGUACCUGAAGAAUAAGCACCGGCUAACUACGUGCCAGCAGCAGCCGCCG